UACGUAGGGGGCAAGCGUUGUCCGGAAUCAUUGGGCGUAAAGAGCGUGUAGGCGGCUCGGCAAGUCCGCUGUGAAAGUCCAGGGCUCAACCCUGGAAUGCCGGUGGAAACUGUCGAGCUAGAGUCCGGAAGAGGCGAGUGGAAUUCCUGGUGUAGCGGUGAAAUGCGCAGAUAUCAGGAGGAACACCAAUGGCGAAGGCAGCUCGCUGGGACGGUACUGACACUGAGACGCGAAAGCGUGGGGAGCAAUCAGG
rnacentral:rRNA from 1 species